rnacentral:rRNA from 1 species
CCCUUAGAUGUUCUGGGCCGCGCGCGCGCUACACUGUUCGACGCAGCGAGUCUUAACCUUGACCGAAAGGUUUGGGUAAUCUUCAGCAAAGUCGAACGUGAUGGGGAUCGAUCAUUGCAAUUAUUGAUCGUGAACGAGGAAUUCCUAGUAAGUGCAAGUCAUCAGCUUGCGCUGAUUACGUCCCUGCCCUUUGUACACACCGCCCGUCGCUACUACCGAUUGAAUGGUUUAGUGAGAUCUCUGGAUUGACGCUGGCUAGGGGGCGACCCUUGGCCAGACUGCUCGAGAAACUGCUCAAACUUGAUCAUUUAGAGGAAGUAAAAGUCGUAACA